UACGGGGGGGAGCAAGCGUUUGUUCGGAUUUACUGGGCGUAAAGGGCGCGUAGGCGGCCAGCACAAGUCAGUUGUGAAAUCUCCGAGCUUAACUCGGAAAGGUCAACUGAUACUGUGCGGCUAGAGUGCAGAAGGGGCAACUGGAAUUCUUGGUGUAGCGGUGAAAUGCGUAGAUAUCAAGAGGAACACCGGUGGCGAAGGCGGGUCUCUGGGCCGUAACUGACGCUGAGGAGCGAAAGCGUGGGGAGCGAACAGG
rnacentral:rRNA from 1 species